GACGAACGCUAGCGGCAGGCCUAACACAUGCAAGUCGAGCGGCAAGGGGCUUCGGCCCCCUAGAGCGGCGCACGGGUGCGUAACGCGUAUGCAACCUACCCUUCAGUGGGGGAAAGCCCGGAGAAAUCUGGAAUAAUCCCGCAUAAAGCAGGGGAUCCGCAUGGAUAUAUUGCUAAAGGAGCAAUUCGCUGAAGGAUGGGCAUGCGUCUGAUUAGCUAGUUGGUAGGGUAACGGCCUACCAAGGCUACGAUCAGUAGCUGGUCUGAGAGGAUGAUCAGCCACACGGGAACUGAGACACGGUCCCGACUCCUACGGGAGGCAGCAGUGAGGAAUAUUGGACAAUGGGCGCAAGCCUGAUCCAGCCAUGCCGCGUGCAGGAAGACGGCCCUUCGGGUUGUAAACUGCUUUUCUCUGGGGUUAAUAAGGUUCUAUACGGGCCGAUGAAGGUACCAGAGGAAUAAGCCACGGCUAACUACGUG
rnacentral:rRNA from 1 species